rnacentral:lncRNA from 1 species
UUCUGGCAAUCACAGUAAGAAAAAUUCUUUGUAUCAAAGUAUUCUGAAAUAUCACAAUCGUGAAGACAGAGAAGAAUAUAGCUAAUCUAUCUUCCACAGUGGAUGACAAUAACAAAGGAUAUCAUCCAGGGAAUUGUUUUGUGCUUAUCAAAGGAGGUUUCUGUUUUUUCUACACCCAUGUAUGCUUUGUGCAAAGCAUAGUGCCAGUGCAUCUCUUGGACACUACUCACCAGACUGCCUCCUACUCCUAAAAUGAUGAAGUCCUUGUUCUCAAGGGACUUGGAUUCUAUCAAGAACAUUGACAAUAAAUCAACAAAUACAUAAUAUUUUUGAGUGGCG